ACUCCUACGGGAGGCAGCAGUGGGGAAUAUUGCACAAUGGGCGCAAGCCUGAUGCAGCAACGCCGCGUGAGGGACGACGGCCUUCGGGUUGUAAACCUCUUUUAGCAGGGAAGAAGCGAAAGUGACGGUACCUGCAGAAAAAGCGCCGGCUAACUACGUGCCAGCAGCCGCGGUAAUACGUAGGGCGCAAGCGUUAUCCGGAAUUAUUGGGCGUAAAGAGCUCGUAGGCGGUUUGUCGCGUCUGCUGUGAAAUCCGGAGGCUCAACCUCCGGCCUGCAGUGGGUACGGGCAGACUAGAGUGCGGUAGGGGAGAUUGGAAUUCCUGGUGUAGCGGUGGAAUGCGCAGAUAUCAGGAGGAACACCGAUGGCGAAGGCAGAUCUCUGGGCCGUAACUGACGCUGAGGAGCGAAAGGGUGGGGAGCAAACAGGCUUAGAUACCCUGGUAGUCCACCCCGUAAACGUUGGGAACUAGUUGUGGGGUCCAUUCCACGGAUUCCGUGACGCAGCUAACGCAUUAAGUUCCCCGCCUGGGGAGUACGGCCGCAAGGCUAAAACUCAAAGGAAUUGACGG
rnacentral:rRNA from 1 species